GAAUACUUUCCAAAUGCACUGUAGUUUGACUAUAUGAAACAGUGACUGAUUUACUUUUUUCUAUUCUUCUUUAAGGCACUGCAUCAUAUACCAGCAGAACCAACACCAGAGACAGACACCAGACUGUUGUGGCAUCAUUUCCCAACAUCUGAGACAGACUUGCCUCAAGGAUUCAGAGGGUAAUGGCUGUAAGUUAGGUUUUAAUUUUGAAACUCACUGCAUUAUCUGACAUGCAUGAGCUCUGCUAUUUCCACCAAAAUGGAGCCCUUGAAGGUGUAAUACUUUUUGGUUGGUUUUACCAACAUUUUACCAAGCCAUAUUGACCACAAAGGGUCUUUAAAAAAAUAAGACUUAUCUUCAAGGAUGUUUGGUACACCCAAAGAUGACGCCACAGUCCUUCUACUGGCUUCUUUGAGGAACGCCUCAGGAACCUGAGAAAGCGGCGUCGGAGACCAGGAUGGCUCAACUCUACAGCUGCAGCCGCCGAAGAUGACAGACCAAGCAGGAGUCCUGUCUUGCCUGAGUCAUAUGUCCCAUAAAGAAGACAGCCAUCCAGAGGGCUUAGUGGAUACGUGAAAACGGGUCCAAGACCAUGGAGGAAAUUCCAAUCACAGUUGCUGGGUCAUAGUAAGCACCCCAGCAACAGGGUUAAAGUCAAAUCUGUUUCCAUACAUGAUUUAAAGUCUACUCAUCAGGGUUUGGGUCAAUUCCAUUUAAAUUCCAGUCAAUUCAGAAAGUAAACCAAAUUAUAAAUUGUCCUCAUUGAAAAGCAUUGACGAUAAUUUGAAUUUUAGUGUGCUUCCUGAAUUGUCUGGAAUUGAAAUUGACCCCAACCCUGAUACUCAUACUUGUCAGUAGGCAGAAUUCAAUGUAUGAUUUAAUUAUAAGCAUAUUCUCUAAUAGACAGGUCGGAACCAACAUGGCUGAAUAUCUCUAGCGGGCGGCAAAGAGACCCGACCCAUCUGGAGGUGCAAUUGUAGAGGGACCUCGGACUGGUGCUAAAGUAUGCACCGGACAGACUGGGGAGUGGAUGACGGCCACGAAAAUGAGUUGUUUUGUGUUCAUUUUGUAAUUAUAUCUUCUCCCCCCCCCAGUUAAUAAAUACAUGUUAUUUGACAUAAACUGUUUUUCUUUACUGUGAUUUUUUAAAUGUUGGUACAAAAUAAAUGUUCAACAGUUGUGAAUGGACCCUAGGAUAAUUUUGUUAUUUUAAAUUAGGCAAUUUCAACUUUGUAGAUCAUCUCACCAUUGUCAUAGUAGAUGGAUAUUGUGAUAGUGGUUUAAGGUACUAUACAUAUGGAUUGAUUUGCAGUGAACAUUGUUGCUGUGAGAUGCAUGAGCACAGUAUUACAUGAGUAAUAUUGGGAGGUCAUAAACUGGUCAUAAUUUGGUUGGAUAUGAGUGGAGGACGUCAGCAAUAAGAUGUCUUAUUCAGGUCGGAUUCUAGUUGCAUAUGAAAGUUUAGACAUCUCCUAAAAUAUGUAAUAUUGACUUUAAAAAAAUAUGUCUAAAAACCUUUCAUAAUCAAUCAAAAUCUGACCGUCAAAUGAGCAUUGAGCCCCCCAAAAAUGUCAAAUAUGUAAAAAAAAAAAAAAAAACCCAGUAAGCAAUGUAUGUAAAGACUGGAAAAAUAUGUAUUUAAAUUUACUUACAGAAUGAGUGACAUUGCUUUCCCUCUUUUUGUUUGAUUCGCUCACACC